GACGAACCGUGCGAACGUUGUUCGGAAUCACUGGGCAUAAAGGGCGCGUAGGCGGCUUUUCAAGUCAGGGGUGAAAUCCGGCAGCUCAACUGUCGAAGUGCCUUUGAUACUGGGAAGCUCGAGGGAGGUAGGGGUGUGUGGAACUUCCGGUGGAGCGGUGAAAUGCGUUGAUAUCGGAAGGAACGCCGGUGGCGAAAGCGACGCACUGGACCUCUUCUGACGCUGAGGCACGAAAGCGUGGGGAGCAAACAGG
rnacentral:rRNA from 1 species